UAGGGAAUCUUCCGCAAUGGACGCAAGUCUGACGGAGCAACGCCGCGUGAGUGAAGAAGGAUUCCGGUUCGUAAAACUCUGUUGUUAGAGAAGAACAGCGCAUAGAGUAACUGUUAUGCGUGUGACGGUAUCUAACCAGAAAGCCACGGCUAACUACGUGCCAGCAGCCGCGGUAAUACGUAGGUGGCAAGCGUUGUCCGGAUUUAUUGGGCGUAAAGCGAGCGCAGGCGGUCAAUUAAGUCUGAUGUGAAAGCCCCCGGCUCAACCGGGGAGGGUCAUUGGAAACUGGUUGACUUGAGUGCAGAAGAGGAGAGUGGAAUUCCAUGUGUAACGGUGAAAUGCGUAGAUAUAUGGAGGAACACCAGUGGCGAAGGCGACUCUCUGGUCUGUAACUGACGCUGAGGCUCGAAAGCGUGGGUAGCAAACAGG
rnacentral:rRNA from 1 species